CGCCUGUUUAACAAAAACAUUUCUUUUAGGUUUUUUUCAAAAGUACUUUCUGCCCUAUGGAUUUCUAAAUGGCUGCAGUAUUUUGACUGUGCAAAGGUAGCAUAAUAAUUAGUUUUUUAAUUGAAGGCUUGUAUGAAUGGAAAUUUGAGAUACAUAUUUUAUUUAAUUUAAAUUUUUAACUUAAAUUUUAGGUUAAAAUGCCUAAUUAAUUUCUUGGGACGAUAAGACCCUAUAGAACUUUACACUAUUUUUUAUAAUGUACUUUUAUAAUACUAUUUUGUUAUAAAUAAUAUUGUUUUGCUGGGGUGGUGGAUAAAUUUAAACUUUAUUAUUAAAAAUCAUUAUAAUUGUUUUUUUUGAUCUGUUGUUAAGGAUAAAGAAUAAGUUACCUUAGGGAUAACAGCGUAAUUACAAUGGAAAGUUCAUAUUUAUAUUGAUUUUUGCGACCUCGAUGUUGAAUUAAGGUAAAUUUUAAGGAGCAGAAUUCUUAAAUUUAAGUCUGUUCGACUUUUAAAUCCUUACUUGAUCUGAGUUCAGACCGG
rnacentral:rRNA from 1 species